UACGUAGGGGGCUAGCGUUGUCCGGAAUCAUUGGGCGUAAAGCGCGUGUAGGCGGUCCGGUAAGUCCGCUGUGAAAGUCGAGGGCUCAACCCUCGAAUGCCGGUGGAUACUGUCGGGCUAGAGUGCGGAAGAGGCGAGUGGAAUUCCUGGUGUAGCGGUGAAAUGCGCAGAUAUCAGGAAGAACACCAAUGGCGAAAGCAGCUCUCUGGGACGGUACUGACGCUGAGACGCGAAAGCGUGGGGAGCGAACAGG
rnacentral:rRNA from 1 species